AGCCGGACGGGCCGUCGCUGCGCAUGCGCGGGGAGGAAAGUCCGGGCUUCACAGGGCAGGAUGCCGGAUAACGUCCGGGAAGAGCGAUCUUCGGCAAGCGCAACAGAAAGCAGACCGCCGUCCUUCGGGGCGGUAAGGGUGAAAGGGUGGCGUAAGAGACCACCGGCUGAUGUGGCAACACGUCAGGCCAGGCAAGCCCCAUCCGAAGCAAGACCAAAUAGGGAAACCGAUCGGCCCGAUCAAUGGUUUCCGGGUAGGUUGCUUGAGGGCGCGGGCAACUGCGCUCCUAGAGGAAUGACGGCCGCCCCGCCUCCGGCGGGGAACAGAACCCGGCUUACAGGCCGACUCC
rnacentral:RNase_P_RNA from 1 species